rnacentral:sRNA from 1 species
UGUAUUUUUAAAAGUGCCGUCACAGUGAAUCUGAGGGAAUGAAAGACACUGGACAUCUGAGUUUGGAGGCAGAUCAUGAGGUAGUGAUGUCACAAGGGCUGCUGGACUUGUCUGUUCUCUGUACCUAACAAUGUGUUCACAGUUGCUUCUGCAUUUUAUUUAUUUUUUUAUCAUUUUAUCAUAUAUGCAUGUAUGUAUGUAUUAUAUCUGCUUGUAUGUCUGUGUACUAUGUGUAUUCUUGGCGUCCCUGGAGGCUAGAGUUUCUGUAACUGGAGCUAUAAGCAGUUGGGAGCCAGCCUGUGGGUCCUCGGACUUGAACCAGGUCCUCUGGAAGAGCAAGGAGUAAAUGCUCUUAAUUGCCGAGCCACCCCUCCGGCCCCUCUUUCUGGAUUUUAAAAUGCUAACUAAUGCCAGCUCCCCCAAGUCUACAAAUCCGGAAACCCACCCUGGUCCACCGAGCAGACGUCCCAGCACUGGAAUGGCCAGUGUCGGUCCACUUUCCUUACACUGCUCACAGUCUAGGGAGGGCGGAAAAGAGGCCGGAAGUUGUGUGCAUCUGCCGAUGAUGUCGGUCUCUGAAUGUGUCUUAGAUUUAAAAACAAACUCGGCGUUGCUCACUCCCUCGGCAGACCCAGAGCAGGCGCCUAAUAGAUGGCUUGGCAGGAGCACUGUAGCCUGUAACAAAACCUGGGGCGGGAAGGGGUGUGUGUGACCAGGCCGGGUCCCCACCGCUAACACGCUGAUGGAAAUUUCCAGAGAUAUUUCUACCUCCCUCACAUCUUUAAUUUUUCAAAUGGACCUCUCUCCAGUUGCUGGGCUAACUCCGCUGCCAAGGCCAGGAGAAUGCUGGCGGCUCCCCAGGGAAGCAUUUUAAUCUCCAGCAUCAAACCAGACCCCUUUUCCAUCCGCCAUCUGCCCGUCUCCAGCCACCUCCAUCCAGGGAAACCAGGAUGGGGCUGAGGGCCUAAUCGGAUCAUAGCUCCGAGUUGUGCACUAAUCAGAUUGCCGUGCAGCCCGGUCUUGCCAGGGGAGCCUUCAGACUCCAGUCUAAGCCCGCUCAGACUGCACUCUCUCUCCUCCCAUCUCAAUUGGAGAGGAGUGGAGGUGAGCCUGGCAUCUUAGAAUUGCUCAGAGGUCUGCGUUAAUGCAGUUUGCUUGGGGUAAGAGCAGGCUCCUGUCUGUGACCUUGAGGAAGUAAUGCAUUCUCUCUGGGUCCGGUACCCGGUAGUCAGUAACGAAAUCUCUUCUCGGCUACCAUGCUUGAGCCCUCUGGGUCUUCUUUGGGUAUUUUUAUAAGGUUGUAAACAGCCGGCCAUCCCAUUCCUCCCACGGCAAGGGGCGUCUUUCGAGGCCCUGUUGUUUCGCUUCCGGGGAGAACAGGUCAAACUUCCCCAGAGCAAGCUGUGCGGCUGGGUCAAAGGUCAAAGUCAGCCAUUUGGCACGCGCAGAACAGAGUGCCAGGGGGCAGAGGGGAUUGUAAGGGGGGCAGGCGCCCUGGCAAGGGUGAGGGUUUGGCAGCAGUUCUGGAUCAUGGGGGGAAGGCGGAAGCUGAGGGGAAUAACCACAGAACACCUGGUGUCUGUCUCACAUGCUGGCGCCUGAGGAGGAGGAUGGGACUCUGAUCUCCGUCAGGGUUGUGGGACAGCCACAUGGUUCACCAUGACGCCAGAGAGCCUGCCUGGGGGGCCAAGAUGAGCCUGAGGAGUUUCAAGAGAUGUCUUCCAGAAAAAUGGUUUGCAGAAACCAAAGAGGAUGCAUGAGAGAACGUAUGAGCCUCCGACCAAAAAGUUAAAUACAUGGAUGAGAUCACACUCUACAACACAGCUCUGUCUUGACAUUGAAUAAACAGCAACAAGUAAGCAUGAACUAUUUGGGUUAAACCUAGCUUUUUUUGAACUCUAUUUUGUUGUUGUUGUUGUUGUUGUCAGAGGAGGUGUAUGACACUUGUGACCAAUACUUGUGGCUCUGUCAGGGUUGCUUUCUGUGUUUGGAGCCAUGUUCUUAGGUGCAUAUGAGUUCAACACUGAUAUGACCUAGAGAGCUACUCUUCUCUUCUUCAACCUUCACGCCAUCUACUUUGACUUUGGAGGCCGUCUUGGUGAUUUAGCAGCUAGCUCUCCACUGGGUAGUGUUGGCUUAAUAAGUCAUCACCUUUUCUUUUUUCCCCAAUAUCGCCAUAUCCCAUGUUCUAAAGAACAGGCUUAUACAAUUGCAAUAGUAGUACACUGUAUAUGAUAUAAACACCCCAGGCAAGAAAUGAGGAGGAAGUUCUUUCUCCCAACCCCAGGAAGCCCCAGGAAGUAAGUGGUAGGUGUUUUCUACAGAUCCUUGGUAGCACUUAAUGUGAUUUUAGGCCUCACAAAAUGCCUUCAUAAAGACCUGCCAUCGCCUGGCAAAAUUGGUUAGGAUCAUGUACGGCCUUGCCUGAGUUUGUUUUACAGAUUACACAAGCAAGCAAAGAGAAUCUACUACAGAGCUAACAGUACAGACACUAUGGAAGAUAACCCAAGAGUUGCCCUUUUUCAAGUGCUAUGAAACGUGUGUACCUAUACACACACACACACACACACACACACACACACACACACACACACCAUUACUUUUUAAAUUCUCACCAUUUGAAGCUUCAACUUCUUCUGUGCUGGGGGGCUUCUCUUCAGCCUUUGGUGACUGGGUGUGACUGGGAAUUUGGAGGAUACAAAACUCCUGGAGCUCAUUUUAACCGUAGUUCUUUUGAUCCUCUUUUCUAGCCACAUGUGACUUGCUUUCUGGCCAGUCCCUGUGCUGCUUAGUCUUAUGUCAACUUGACACAGGGUAGAGUCAUUUGGAACGAGGGAACCUUAACUGAGAAAAUGCCUCCACCAGAUUGACCAGUGGGCAGGCCUGUGAGGCAAUUUCUUGAUUAGUGAUUGAUGUGAGUGAGCCCAGUGCCACCGUUGGGCAGGUGGUCCUGGACGGUAUAGGGAUGUGGGCUGCAUAAACCAUGAGGACCAAGACAGUAAGGGACAUUUCUCCAUGACCUACCUCUGCAUCACUUCCUGCCUUGAGUGAGUUCCUGCCUUGCGCACCCUUGAUGAUGGGCAAGCUGUAAGCCAAAGUAAACCCCUUCUCCUCACGUUGUCUUUGGUCAUGCUAUUUGACCACAGCAAUAGAAACCUUCUCUAAGACAGUCCCUAGAGCAUUCCUCUUGUGGAGUCUUCCAGAGGUCAAGCACUCAGCUCUCAGCAUGGGAACUGAUUUGUAGGCUCAGCAAAUUUCUGACAAAACUUCCAUGCUGGUGGAUGUCUUUGUGUGUGUGUGUGUGUGUGUGUGUAUGUUCAUGAAUGCAUAUGUGUGUUUGUAUGUGUGUGUGCAAUGUGUGUGCAGGUAUGCAAUUGUGUGUGGAGGCCCAAGUUUGAUGUUAGGGAUCAUCCAUGAUUGUUAUUUUGCCUCAUUCGUUGAGGCAACCCCCUGAGCUCACUGGCAUGGCUUGUCUCCCUGGCCAGCUUGCUCUGAGAAUCCCUACCUUCCAAGGCUGGAAUUGCAGGUGGGCCACUCCACCCUCUUAUCAUUUUACAUGGGUUCCAGGGAAUCUGAACUCAUGUCAUCAUAUUUGCCUAACAAGUGCUUUAGCCUCUGAAGCAUCUCUCCCGUCCCUCGGGCUGGCAAAUUUUAAGCCAAAUGCUGUGUGGUUGAGUUCGGAGUUGGGAGAAAAUGCAGCUUCACGGUGGGACAGUCACCUCUUGAUUCCCUAAAGACAGUUGUGUCUGUAGCCUCGGGGUGCUGGUCACAUGGGGAAUAACUAAAAGCAAUGGUAUAAACAAAGACUGCCUUUAAGAAAAUACUUGACUUAGUUAUAUAUUCAUGUUAACAUAGUGCACAGAGGGGACUGGGAUUCACAAGUGGCUCCCGUGCCCUUAAAAACUCAACGCAGCUCCUGAGGCUGGCGUGCAUCACCCCCAGCACACUGUUCAUCUGCAUUUUGUUUACCAAGAGUUUUUUUUUGUUGUUGUUGUUCCUGAUAUAUCCUUUCUUUCUUUUUUUUUUUUUUGAAGAUUGA